UACGUAGGGUGCAAGCGUUGUCCGGAAUUAUUGGGCGUAAAGAGCUCGUAGGCGGUCUGUCGCGUCUGCUGUGAAAACUCAGGGCUUAACCCUGAGCCUGCUUCCGAUACGGGCAGACUAGAGGUAUGCAGGGGAGAACGGAAUUCCUGGUGUAGCGGUGAAAUGCGCAGAAUAUCAGGAGGAACACCGGUGGCGAAGGCGGUUCUCUGGGCAUUACCUGACGCUGGAGGAGCGAAGGCCAGGGGAGCAAACGGG
rnacentral:rRNA from 1 species